rnacentral:rRNA from 1 species
UACAGAGACCUCAAGCGUUAUCCGGAAUCAUUGGGCGUAAAGCGUACCGAUAGGUGGUUGAAAUAGUCUUGGGUAAAAGCCAGAAGCUUAACUUCUGCGUUUGCUUAAGAUACUUUUCGACUAGAGGGGCAAAGAGGUGCUUGGAACGAAUGGUGUAGUAGUGAAAUGCGUUGAUAUCAUUCGGAACACCGAAAGCGAAGGCAGAGCACUGGGUGCCACCUGACACUGCUAGGACGAAAGCGUGGGUAGCGAAUGGG